rnacentral:rRNA from 1 species
UGCAGUCGACGCUGAGCUGGGUGCUUGCACCUGGUGGAUGAGUGGCGAACGGGUGAGUAAUACGUGAGUGACCUUCCUUGGACUCUGGGAUAAGCCCGGGAAACUGGGUCUAAUACCGGAUACGACCAGUCCUCGCAUGGGGUGCUGGUGGAAAGGGUUUGUACUGGUUCUUGAUGGGCUCACGUCCUAUCAGCUUGUUGGUGAGGUAAUGGCUUACCAAGGCGACGACGGGUAGCCGGCCUGAGAGGGUGACCGGCCACACUGGGACUGAGACACGGCCCAGACUCCUACGGGAGGCAGCAGUGGGGAAUAUUGCACAAUGGGCGCAAGCCUGAUGCAGCGACGCCGCGUGGGGGAUGACGGCCUUCGGGUUGUAAACCUCUUUCAGCAGGGAAGAAGCGAAAGUGACGGUACCUGCAGAAGAAGCGCCGGCUAACUACGUGCCAGCAGCCGCGGUAAUACGUAGGGCGCAAGCGUUGUCCGGAAUUAUUGGGCGUAAAGAGCUCGUAGGCGGUUUGUCGCGUCUGCUGUGAAAGCCCGGGGCUCAACCCCGGGUGUGCAGUGGGUACGGGCAGGCUGGAGUGCAGUAGGGGAGACUGGAAUUCCUGGUGUAGCGGUGAAAUGCGCAGAUAUCAGGAGGAACACCGAUGGCGAAGGCAGGUCUCUGGGCUGUUACUGACGCUGAGGAGCGAAAGCAUGGGGAGCGAACAGGAUUAGAUACCCUGGUAGUCCAUGCCGUAAACGUUGGGCACUAGGUGU